rnacentral:rRNA from 1 species
UACGAAGGGGGGCUAGCGUUGCUCGGAAUCACUGGGCGUAAAGCGCACGUAGGCGGCUUUUUAAGUCAGGGGUGAAAUCCUGGAGCUCAACUCCAGAACUGCCUUUGAUACUGAGAAGCUCGAGUCCGGGAGAGGUGAGUGGAACUGCGAGUGUAGAGGUGAAAUUCGUAGAUAUUCGCAAGAACACCAGUGGCGAAGGCGGCUCACUGGCCCGGUACUGACGCUGAGGUGCGAAAGCGUGGGGAGCAAACAGGG